UGGUCCCUGGUGGAGGUAGAGCUACUGGAUGGCCGAUGGGCCCUAUGGGUUACUGACGUCAGCCAAACUCCGAAUGCCAAUAGGGUGUAGCACGGCAGUGAGACUGCGGGGGAUAAGCUUCGUAGUCGAGAGGGAAACAGCCCAGAUCAUCAGCUAAGGCCCCUAAGCGUACGCUAAGUGGGAAAGGAUGUGGAGUCGCGGUGACAACCAGGAGGUUGGCUUAGAAGCAGCCAUCCUUGAAAGAGUGCGUAAUAGCUCACUGGUCAAGUGGUUCUGCGCCGACAAUGUAGCGGGGCUCAAGCGUACCGCCGAAGCUGUGGCAACAACGCGUUGUGCUGGCGCCAGGAACUGGAGUGCUGGUGUGUUGUUGGGUAGGGGAGCGUCCUGCACGAGGUGAAGCCUGGAGGGAACUUCUGGUGGAUUGUGUGGGAGUGAGAAUGCAGGCAUGAGUAACGAAUCUGCGGUGAGAAUCCGCAGCGCCGAUUGACUAAGGGUUCCAGGGCUAGGUUUAUCCGCCCUGGGUUAGUCGGGUCCUAAGGCGAGGCCGACAGGCGUAGUCGAAUGGAUGAACGGGUCGAUAUUCCCGUACCGGCUUUCGGACCGACCAACAGCCCGUGUGAACAAGGGCCAUCCGAUACGGUUGAUGGGGGCUUCGGCCUCCUGAUUCCGUUGCUGUUUGGCCUGGACGCGCAUGGGUUGAGCGUUUCAGGAGUGACGCGGACGGGUAGCCGGCCGGGGAGGUGGUUUUCCCUGGUCAAGCGUGUGGCCCCGCCCCCAGGCAAAUCCGGGGGCUUCAUGGGGUGAGGCGUGAUGAUGGGCGCUUUCAUGGCGUGAUAUCCGGUGAUCCCGUCGGCCGAGAAAAGCUUCGGCGCGAGGUCCGUUGCCGCCCGUACCCCAAACCGACACAGGUGGUCUGGUAGAGUAUACCGAAGCGAUCGAGCGAAUCCUGGUCAAGGAACUCGGCAAAUUGCUCCCGUGCCUUCGGCAUAAGGGAGACCCCCGGCCGUGCCGGCCCCUUGCGGGUCGUGGGCGGCUGGGGGUGGCACAGGCCAGGGGGUAGCGACUGUUUACCAAAAACACAGGUGCAUGCCAAGACGCAAGUCGCCGUAUAUGCACUGACGCCUGCCCGGUGCCGGAAGGUUAAGAGGAUCCAUCAGCGUCCCCUCGCGGGAUGCGAAGUGGUGAAUUCAAGCCCCGGUAAACGGCGGUGGUAACUAUAACCAUCCUAAGGUAGCGAAAUUCCUUGUCGGGUAAGUUCCGACCUGCACGAAUGGCGUA
rnacentral:rRNA from 1 species